CACGGAGCUUGCUCUGUGGGAUCAGUGGCGAACGGGUGAGUAACACGUGAGCAACCUGCCCCUGACUCUGGGAUAAGCGCUGGAAACGGCGUCUAAUACUGGAUAUGUGACGUGACCGCAUGGUCUGCGUCUGGAAAGAUUUUUCGGUUGGGGAUGGGCUCGCGGCCUAUCAGCUUGUUGGUGAGGUAAUGGCUCACCAAGGCGUCGACGGGUAGCCGGCCUGAGAGGGUGACCGGCCACACUGGGACUGAGACACGGCCCAGACUCCUACGGGAGGCAGCAGUGGGGAAUAUUGCACAAUGGGCGCAAGCCUGAUGCAGCAACGCCGCGUGAGGGAUGACGGCCUUCGGGUUGUAAACCUCUUUUAGCAGGGAAGAAGCGAAAGUGACGGUACCUGCAGAAAAAGCGCCGGCUAACUACGUGCCAGCAGCCGCGGUAAUACGUAGGGCGCAAGCGUUAUCCGGAAUUAUUGGGCGUAAAGAGCUCGUAGGCGGUUUGUCGCGUCUGCUGUGAAAUCCGGAGGCUCAACCUCCGGCCUGCAGUGGGUACGGGCAGACUAGAGUGCGGUAGGGGAGAUUGGAAUUCCUGGUGUAGCGGUGGAAUGCGCAGAUAUCAGGAGGAACACCGAUGGCGAAGGCAGAUCUCUGGGCCGUAACUGACGCUGAGGAGCGAAAGGGUGGGGAGCAAACAGGCUUAGAUACCCUGGUAGUCCACCCCGUAAACGUUGGGAACUAGUUGUGGGGUCCAUUCCACGGAUUCCGUGACGCAGCUAACGCAUUAAGUUCCCCGCCUGGGGAGUAC
rnacentral:rRNA from 1 species